rnacentral:lncRNA from 1 species
CCUCAGCCCCUCCUCCAUGACCUUAAACAAGACUUCGUUAGUUCUCAGCCUCAUCUUUUAUACCCCGAGACACACUCCCCCUUUGUAGUCAUCUUGGGGACAGGCAUCACUCGAGGGUGCUGUGGUGAUAUUGACUCUGUAUACACUGCACGUUAGCCUUCGACACUUGGCUCAGAAUCGCCGGCAGAAAACUAGCCCAAGGUCCAGACCAGUGCCUGACUCCACUGGGGGAUGCUGGGUUUGAAAGAAACCCUAUGAAGCUAACGGGAGACUGAGGCCGGACAAGUGCCUGUAAACAGCAGGGAUGGGGAGAGGAGCAAAUGAUGCAGAACGGAGUGAGCUGGGUAGGGCUUUAUAGGCAUGGAGUAAGGGAGGAAGAAGAAAGGGCCUUUCAGUGGUGACUUUUAAGUACCUGCCUUUCCAGAGAAGGUUUUCAAUGUGACAUCUUAGAACACAGCUUUGCCAUCCGCAGCCCUCGCAUUUCUGGUGGCCAUGUGGUGAGAGCAGUGACGCUGGGCUUUGUGCCCAGGGAGAUGAGCUUGCUGGCUUCCAGCAGAGGGCUGGGCUUUGGGGUUAAAUCACCCAUCACACAAAGAUGAGCGUGUUCUUCAUCCCUCACAGCAGCCACUUAGCCCAAGAGGUUAUGUGGAUCUUGGGGGCAGGAGGAUUCACCUCCCAUGGGGUCCCAGUCUCUCCUCUCUCCUGGGAUCUUCAUCAGGACUAAAAGCCCUCCAUGAGAGGCAUGCUAUCCCCAGCUAGGUCAAAACCAUUGUCUGUAUUUUAUGGGAGGGGACAGAAAUUAACAAAAGAACUCUGUGUGGUUCGAGACCUUUUUAUUUAGCCUUCCCCCAAAACAGCAAACUCAUUUUAAAGACUCAUCGCUCAGGUGACAGAACUCUAUCCUCUCCAACCUUUCAUUCUCAAAAAACCAGCCUUGUGUACUUGACUGCCCGGAACAGUGGUGGGCUCUGAGGUUGUGGAAGGGUGGGGAGGCAUGGGGUGGAGACGCUGCGUUGUGCUUCGGAGGCCUUGGUGGGGCCCCGUGUUGUAUUUCUUACCCUCUGGGGAAUGCCAAAGGCGUGAGACCGGGCUACUUCCUAGUCCCUAAGAAAAAUGUGAUUGAUUCUAAGGGCUGAUGGUUCAGGGAUGACUCAGCUGUCCCAGGAGAAGCUGACCCACAGAUGUCUGGUGGUCCCCAGCAGCUCUAAUCCACUCAUCACCAGAACCCCACUGUUCUAAAUGUGCCCAUCAUUCUGAGGACUUCUGAACCUGCAGCUCCGGCAAAGGACGAUUGUGAGCUGCCUCUGGAUGGCUAACACUGGAGACUCUGGCCUUACCAUGUGGAAAUAGUUUUCCUGAAGUCUGGAACUAAUUUUGAGAAGUUUUUUUCUCAAUACUUUUGUGUUUCUAACACUGUAUUCUUGACUGUGUAAAUACCAACAAGGCUGUAAAUAAAUGCAGAUGUAGAUACCUUCUAGAAAAAAAGGGGGAAAAAGCAUAAAAACAAAACCAGAAGUGAUCCCGUGUAGCCUUCGUUGACAAAUAAAAGACUAUUUUGUGUUU